GACGAACGCUGGCGGCGUGCUUAACACAUGCAAGUCGAACGGAAAGGCCCUGCUUUUGUGGGGUGCUCGAGUGGCGAACGGGUGAGUAACACGUGAGUAACCUGCCCUUGACUUUGGGAUAACUUCAGGAAACUGGGGCUAAUACCGGAUAGGAGCUCCUGCUGCAUGGUGGGGGUGGGAAAGUUUCGGCGGUUGGGGAUGGACUCGCGGCUUAUCAGCUUGUUGGGUGGGUAGUGGCUUACCAAGGCUUUGACGGGUAGCCGGCCUGAGAGGGUGGCCGGACACAUCGGGACUGAGAUACGGCACAGCCUAGUACGGGAGGCAGCGGUGGGGAAUGUUACACAGUGGGCGGAAGGCUGAUGCAGCAAAGCCGCGUGCGGGAUGACGGCAUUCGGGUUGUAUACCGCUUUCGCCUGUCACGAAGCGUGAGUGACGGUACUGGGUAAAGAAGCUCCGGCUAACUACGUG
rnacentral:rRNA from 1 species